GAGAUUCAUCUGUUACUGGUAGUUUUCCAAUUACAGCACUAGAGCGCAUAAUGCGGCAUUGUGCGCAGCUUCGAGUGUUCCAAUAACAGCAACGCUUCACACAGUUGAACACUCAAAAAACCUUUGCUCGCGGAUGUGAUGCGUAAGAGUUACCAACGAGUCUACAU